rnacentral:misc_RNA from 1 species
AAGACUAUAGACCUGCGGAGUACCUGCGGAGGGAUCAUUGUCGAGAUUCUCAGGGGCGGCGGCGGCCCUCGGGCCGUCGCCCCCCGAACCCUCCCACCUUUGUUGAGAAACCUCAGUUGCUUCGGCGGCGAGGGGUCGGCGGGCGAGGACGCGCUCCUCUCCCGCCCACCCGCGAGCCGCCGGAGGACACAACCAAACACAUCCAACACCGAGUCCGAAGCGAAAAAAAAUUCAUAAUUG